rnacentral:misc_RNA from 1 species
AAGUCGUAACAAGGUAACCGUAGGUGAACCUGCGGUUGGAUCAUUAACAAUUAUUAUUGAGCUCUCCACCCUUCACCGGGCGGUAGGUUCUCUAACACUUGUGUGCACUGUUUAUUGUCUCUCGGCGUUUGAGGGGUUGGGUAUCCGGAGCUUGCUCUGGGUGCCCUUGGGCUUUUCACAGGGCCUCGACCGACCCCCUGAGCGCCAAUUUUAAACUUGAUUUAUAUAUACUACAAGCCUUUAAUUUUAAAUUUAUAAUUUGAAAACAACUUUUAACAACGGAUCUCUAGGCUCUCA